UACGUAGGGGGCAAGCGUUGUCCGGAGUACUGGGCGUAAAGCGUGCGCAGGCGGUUGUGUAAGACAGAUGUGAAAUCCCCGGGCUCAACCUGGGAACUGCAUUUGUGACUGCACGGCUGGAGUGCGGCAGAGGGGGAUGGAAUUCCGCGUGUAGCAGUGAAAUGCGUAGAUAUGCGGAGGAACACCGAUGGCGAAGGCAAUCCCCUGGGCCUGCACUGACGCUCAUGCACGAAAGCGUGGGGAGCAAACAGG
rnacentral:rRNA from 1 species